rnacentral:misc_RNA from 1 species
GUAGGUGAACCUGCGGAAGGAUCAUUGCAAGAGAGUAUUUCAGGUGGCGCAAGCCGCCUGUGAAUAAUACAAGGUCGUCUGGGGAUGAAAGUUCCUGGAUUACACAAGCGCGUAUUCGUGUGGCAGUCUGAACAUAAUUAAAAAGCAAAACUUUUAACAAUGGAUCUCUUGGCUCUUGCAUCGAUGAAGAACGCAGCAUCUGACUGACUAAGAUUCG